GACGAACGCUGGCGGCGUGCUUAACACAUGCAAGUCGAACGGAAAGGCCCUGCUUUUGUGGGGUGCUCGAGUGGCAAACGGGUGAGUAACACGUGAGUAACCUGCCCUUGACUUUGGGAUAACUUCAGGGAACUGGGGCUAAUACCGGAUAGGAGCUCCUGCUGCAUGGUGGGGGUUGGAAAGUUUCGGCGGUUGGGGAUCGACUCGCGGCUUAUCAGCUUGUUGGUGGGGUAGUGGCUUACCAAGGCUUUGACGGGUAGCCGGCCUGAGAGGGUGACCGGCCACAUUGGGACUGAGAUACGGCCCAGACUCCUACGGGAGGCAGCAGUGGGGAAUAUUGCACAAUGGGCGGAAGCCUGAUGCAGCAACGCCGCGUGCGGGAUGACGGCCUUCGGGUUGUAAACCGCUUUCGCCUGUGACGAAGCGUGAGUGACGGUAAUGGGUAAAGAAGCACCGGCUAACUACGUG
rnacentral:rRNA from 1 species